GUGAGGGACCCAGAGAAACAACUGGCAGAUGGCAAAAACAAGCAAAGAGAAGACUGCUUGCUACAGGCAGCGGGUCAAUGCAGACCCUACAGUAAGAGCCGACUAUCUUGCCAGGAAAAGAGAAAGCUACCAUAGAAGAAAACAACAGGGCAAGAUUCCAUAUUUGAAGUCGGAUGAGAUUUCAGAGAGGGAG